rnacentral:lncRNA from 1 species
UGAGCACUGUAGUCAUUAAAUGUUUAAAUAUGCAUGUGAUAAAGUAAAAUUUGAACCUUUUGAGUUAUUGACAGUACAAUGACAGACAAAUUUAUAGUAAAUUUGAACAUUAUUAAGUCUUUCCACUUUUCUGUGGAAAGACUUAUUGUUUUUGUUCUGAUUAUUAUUAUUAUUAUUAUUAUUUUUUUUUUUUUUCCGCCAACUUUUGUUCUUGCGAUAAAUGUUUGUUUCGCAAUAUGUCGCUUAGAUAUUUCUCAUAUUGUAUCAAAUAGUUUAUGCGCUUUUAAAUUUCACCCUGCUAAGCCGAACCAUUUUCUUUGUAAGAGUUAUCUCCCUUUUCACUGUUUAUCAUCAAAGCGUAUCUCCUUCGUAACAAAAAAAGAUAGCGACAAAAUUCUUUUUACAAAUUCUUCGUUACAUCCUCAGUAAUUUUUGGCGUAUUUGGAUCGAAGCGAUUCGAUGAAAUUUUAUAGGAGUUAUCUACCUUUACAAAAUAAAUUUGUCGGUAUGUUUAUUUAACUCAUUAACAGAUAACCGUAUAACCCUGGGAUGUUUUUAUUUGAGUCCCCUAGGUCCUAACUUAGAAAAUGAGGUCAAGGUCAAAGGUCAAGGUCAAGUUCUCAAUUGUGACUUUUGCUUGUUUUUGCAUUUUCUCACUCACUUUGAGAGAUACAUAUAAAAGAACAAGUGCAAAAUGUCUGUUUAAUUGUUAUGAAGAUAUGCUACAUUUAGUCUGAUACAAUUAGAUGGCAUCUUAUAGGAGUUGUCGCCCCUGAAAUGUCUUGAUAUGAGGUUAUUUGAUUAUAACUUCAAGUAAGUUCAUUAUAAAGACAUUUGACCUGAUACAAAAGGUUAAGUGACAAAUGACCUUGAAAAAUGGCUACCGGAAGUGACCUUGAGAAAACCGGAAGUAGCUUUUUUUGCAUUUUUUUCACAUAAAAGUACUCAGAAUCCAUAUAUUUUUUCAUAUAGAUACAUGAACAAAUUACUGAAGACUAAAAAUGACUUCCAACAAACCGGAAGUGGCCAAUUAUCUCCCAUUCUACAUACAAAAGUAUAUAAAAACUAUAUAUUUUUGCAAUCAGUGUGAAAGAAGCUAUCAUAUGAGACCAGAUGUGACAUUCAUUUCACCGGAAGUAGCAUAUUAUCUCCCUUAUAUCACUCAAAAAGAUAAUUAAACCAUUAUUUAUCGCAUCAGUAUGAAGAAACUACCUUCUUAUCCAAAUUUCUGUGGUGUGGAAAGACUUUCAAUUGUUCUCUGAACAAUUGGUUUUUAAUUUUAUCUAUAAUUCUUUAAAAGCUAGAUAUUAAUUUUCUUCCAUGCUGUUGUUUUGUCUUUUUUUUCUUUUUACUUUUUUG